UACGGAGGGAGCUAGCGUUGUUCGGAAUUACUGGGCGUAAAGCGCGCGUAGGCGGCUUUGUAAGUUAGAGGUGAAAGCCCGGGGCUCAACCCCGGAACUGCCUUUAAGACUGCAUCGCUUGAAUCCGGGAGAGGUGAGUGGAAUUCCGAGUGUAGAGGUGAAAUUCGUAGAUAUUCGGAAGAACACCAGUGGCGAAGGCGGCUCACUGGACCGGUAUUGACGCUGAUGUGCGGAAAGCGUGGGGAGCAAACAGGAUUGAGA
rnacentral:rRNA from 1 species